CCUACGGGAGGCAGCAGUGAGGAAUAUUGGUCAAUGGACGAGAGUCUGAACCAGCCAAGUAGCGUGAAGGAUGACUGCCCUAUGGGUCGUAAACUUCUUUUAUAAAGGAAUAAAACGAGGCACGUGUGCUUUUUUGUAUGUACCUUAUGAAUAAGGAUCGGCUAACUCUGUGCCAGCAGCCGCGGUAAUACGGAGGAUCCGAGCGUUAUCCGGAUUUAUUGGGUUUAAAGGGAGCGUAGAUGGGUUGUUAAGUCAGUUGUGAAAGUUUGCGGCUCAACCGUAAAAUUGCAAUUGAUACUGGCAGUCUUGAGUACGGUUGAGGUAGGCGGAAUUCGUGGUGUAGCGGUGAAAUGCUUAGAUAUCACGAAGAACCCCGAUUGCGAAGGCAGCUUACUAAACUAUGACUGACAUUGAUGCUCGAAAGUGUGGGUAUCAAACAGGAUUAGAUACCCGGGUAGUC
rnacentral:rRNA from 1 species